CCCAGGUUUGAGGCUAUGCUGUUUUGUGGUCAGGGACUCGACUCUCCAUGGCUUGCAAGGUUUGAUGCAGGGCUGAGGUUUGUCCUUUGGUUGUUCCCACCUCCGUGCUGCUGAUGGCUUCGUUUGGCUCUGAUGCUUGCGUGCUGGUAGAGCUUUCGCCACGGGUGCGUGCUGCUGUGCCCUCUGGAGCUUGCGUGGGGUAGUGUGGAGGUUGGCGGUCGGCCAGGAGCUAACCAGAGGUGCCUUCUUGCUCCGGGCCUGUAGCAGGGCCGGCAUCUUGUAGCCAUGGACUCGGGGGCUAUUGAAGGCCGAGUCCUUCCCUUUCGGGGUAGGUCUGGAGAUCCUGGGGUUGGUGGUAUGCCGCCGUUGGCGGGUGGAUCUCUGCCUACGUGGUCGAUGCACCGGGGUUAAUCCCCUGUUGGCCCCCGGCCCAG